GGGCCCGCACAAGCGGUGGAGCAUGUGGUUUAAUUCGAUGAUACGCGAGGAACCUUACCAGGGCUUAAAUGUAGUCUGACAGGGGUGGAAACACCCCCUCCUUCGGGCAGAUUACAAGGUGCUGCAUGGUUGUCGUCAGCUCGUGCCGUGAGGUGUCAGGUUAAGUCCUAUAACGAGCGCAACCCCUGCCGUUAGUUGCCAGCAUGUAAUGAUGGGAACUCUAACGGGACUGCCGGUGCAAACCGCGAGGAAGGUGGGGAUGACGUCAAAUCAUCACGGCCCUUACGUCCUGGGCUACACACGUGCUACAAUGGCCGGUACAGAGGGCAGCCACACCGCAAGGUGGAGCGGAUCUAUAAAACCUAUCUCAGUUCGGAUCGGAGUCUGCAACUCGACUCCGUG
rnacentral:rRNA from 1 species